UACGUAGGGCGCAAGCGUUAUCCGGAAUUAUUGGGCGUAAAGAGCUCGUAGGCGGUUUGUCGCGUCUGCCGUGAAAGUCCGGGGCUUAACCCCGGGCCUGCAGUGGGUACGGGCAGACUAGAGUGCGGUAGGGGAGACUGGAAUUCCUGGUGUAGCGGUGAAAUGCGCAGAUAUCAGGAGGAACACCGGUGGCGAAGGCGGGUCUCUGGGCCGUAACUGACGCUGAGGAGCGAAAGCCAGGGGAGCAAACGGG
rnacentral:rRNA from 1 species